rnacentral:rRNA from 1 species
GAUGAACGCUGGCGGCGUGCCUAAUACAUGCAAGUCGAGCGAACAGAUGAGGAGCUUGCUCCUCUGACGUUAGCGGCGGACGGGUGAGUAACACGUGGAUAACCUACCUAUAAGACUGGGAUAACUUCGGGAAGCCGGAGCUAAUACCGGAUAAUAUAUUGAGCCGCAUGGUUCAAUAGUGAAAGACGGUUUUGCUGUCACUUAUAGAUGGAUCCGCGCCGCAUUAGCUAGUUGGUAAGGUAACGGCUUACCAAGGCAACGAUGCGUAGCCGACCCGAGAGGGUGAUCGGCCACACUGGAACUGAGACACGGUCCAGACUCCUACGGGAGGCAGCAGUAGGGAAUCUUCCGCAAUGGGCGAAAGCCUGACGGAGCAACGCCGCGUGAGUGAUGAAGGUCUUCGGAUCGUAAAACUCUGUUAUUAGGGAAGAACAAAUGUGUAAGUAACUAUGCACGUCUUGACGGUACCUAAUCAGAAAGCCACGGCUAACUACGUG